CCCAAACACCGACCCGACCCGCCUGACCCAAUAACCCAUUCCCCCCUCAUUAAAUCGCAACCCUAAAGACUUUACCCAUCAGGUCCCUACCCUGAAGAAGCUAGAAACCACGCUCCAUUCUCCUCUCAAAAGAGAUGAAACUUGACCCCUUCUCCUUCACUCUGUCAACGGCGCACCCCUCUCCAUUUUUCAACAAGAGACGAACCUUAUUGUUCUGCCUUUUGAUUUGUUUCAAGCUUAAUUUUCGAAGCUGUAGUGCUAAUGUCAAUGUUGAUGGGAAAAUUGUGAAUUUGGGUCUCUGGAAUACUGCUUAAAAUCGGCUGGGACUGACAUGGUCAUGGUUGCUGCUGUUAUUUUGUUGAAGGCUUGUAACUGGGUUUUCAUUUUUAUAGCUAUUGUUUCUUGCCUUCAUUUGACUCACUCUAGUGCUGUCUUCCGUUCGAUUUAGGUAAGUUCCGAAUCUUACUUGUAUUACAUCUGUAUUGAGUGAUUGAAUUGUUAAAUCUCUUAUGUGAUUUUACGGAUUUGCUUGAGUUUCACAAUCAAAUGUCCAGCAAUGUGUGUGGUGUUUUAAUUUGGGAAAAUACUGAAAAUAGUGAAAUAGAUUAAAAUGACACCUACAUGGGUUAAUUUCCAAUUCUUAAUUUCGGUUGGAAUACUGUUAUUGUUUGUUUGACUAUUCUAAGUUCAAUUGCAUUUUUUUAGUUUGAAACUAGGUACAGUAAAUAAAAUUCCCAUGUGAAGCCAUUUUUGAGAUAUGCGAAUUUUACUCAUAAUUUUAAACUUGGUUGAUCUUACGCAAGGCUACAUUUCUGUUGUGAGUUUAAGAAGAUUAAGGAAGCUAGUGGUGCUAUUGUGCUUACAGCUUAGGUUUGGUUUUAUUAGUUGCGCCUUUUGAGGCUUUUUGUUAAAGUCAUUGCUUUCAAUUAGCCAAUGGAGUAUUUAAACCUUGGGAUUUACUGCUUUGAAAUACAUUUGAGAUGUUUCAGUGUAUUGGGAUGUUGACUGUUAAAUCGCCUAUUGAUACAAAUUAGCAUAUAUUUUGAAUGCUUUUGGCUGUUAGUUUCAUGAUAAAAAAUGGGAGCCAUCUUUUCUCCUCCAAAAUAUGAAACCAGCGGCAGACUUUGAGAAUUGCUAAACAAAGAGAAAAAAAGCAAAUCUUAAAAAUUCCAAAGCUAAGAAGUCGUUUGCAGCAAACAAAAAAAAAGGCAAAGUUAUCAUGUAAGAUCUUUGAAGCAUACAGUUUCACAUUAGGCUACUAACAUGUACAGUAACAUCUAAUGUAAGGCAAAAAUGAAAUAAUUUUAGUAAUAUAAACAAAGUGUGUCGUCUCAUUAAGAUGCGAAAUAUGUUGUUGGGAUUAAUUAGCUUUAGAAAAAUAAUUAAUUAAUAUCGUAGUUUGCUUUAGGCGUGAUUAAUAAACUAUUGUAACUAUGGGUACAGUUCCCGUGGCAUGGGUGCCUAAUUCCAAAAUUCGGGGGUGCAUUUCAUGUAACUCGAUUAUAAUAACUUCGAAUAAGAAAAACCCUUUGAAAUAAUUUGAAGCGUGCCAUGCCAAAUAAAAUCCCUAAACUCAUGGCCCUCAUUUAAUUAAUUUUAAUCCUUUAGAAAUCGAGGUGUGCCAUUUAGCUGAAUUUUCCAUGGCCCUCGCAAACUUGAAAUGCGUAGUUGCUUUAGGCGCGCUAUUUAAAUUAAUUUCCUUAAACUCGGGUGUGCAUUUCAUGUGACCCAAAUCCAAAUCUCAACAAUGUUAAAUAAAAUGUGUCGUGGACUGCGGGUGCAUUUCAUGUAGCGUAGUUCAAGACGUGUUUUAGAUAAUGUUGAAUCUUCCUAAAAUAAGUUAAAAUGUACCAUAUGCUGAAACAUGUAUUAAAAUCAGAUAAUAGGCCAAUUAUAAUAGUUUAAGCAACCGUGCUAGAACCACGGAAUCCGGGGGUACCUAACACCUUCCCUCGGGUUAACAGAAUUCCUUAUUUAGAAUUUCUGGUUCGCAGGUUUCAAAAGGAAAGUCGAAAUUUCCUCGAUUUGGGAUUUGAAAUAAAUCGGUGACGUGAGACACCAAAUAAACUAUCCCAAGUGGAGACUCUGAAUUGAAUAAUUAAUCCUAUUUCGGAUAAUGUCACUUAAAUUGGAAAAACUCCGUUGUAUACCUCUCGAGGUUUAAAAAGGAGGUGUGACAGCUGCGAGGAAACAACAAGUAACAAAAGGAAAACAACAUAUAAAUGUAAAGAACACCAUAAUUCAAUUAUCAACAAGAAUCGAAAAUCCAAGACAAGUGCACGACAUCACCCUUCGUGCUUUUACUCUCGUCCUCACUAUAAGAAUCAAUAUAAUCUGCACGACAUCACCCUUCGUGCAUUUAUUCCCGUCCUCACCAUAAAAAAAAUCAAUAUAAUCGGUACGGCAUCUCCCUUCGUGCUUUUACCUCACAUAAUCAUGGCACGGAAUGAUCCUUCGUGAAUUGUCACUCAUAUCAUGGCACGGAAUUGUACAUCGUGCGGUACGACAUCACUCUUUGUGCAUUAACACUCUCUCACAAUAUCGGCACGGCAUCACCCUUCGUGCAUUAACACUCUCUCAUAAAUAUCAUGCACGAUAUCACCCUUCAUGCUUUAACACUCUUCCUUACCCAAAAAAUAAUCACAAAGAAAUAAGGGCAAGGGAAUCAAUAAAAUCACAAUAAAAUUUCGGCAAGGGAACAAUAGUAUAACAACAAUAUCCCGGCAAGGGAAACAAUAUCAUAAAUAAUAACGUCCCCGCAAGGGAGAUAAUAUCAAAAGCAACAACAUUCCGACAAGGGAGACAAUAUCAUAAACCUCUUCUCUUUCCCACAUUUACUUCACAACUCUAUUCACAACUUAAGCCAAUGCUCUACAAUGUUCAAUUGCCAAUAAUAUUUCCACAAAUCAUUUUACAACUUGAGCCAACGCUCUUCAAUGUUCAACUACCAAUAAUACUUCCACAAGCCUUGUUCAAUAAUCGAAAUCUUCAUAUAAAGCAUGAACAAUACGAAACAGAGUCAUAUUAACCAUAGUAUAAAAUUCAUGGGCAUGCUUGACACCAUCGUAUAGAUACUCAUCACCAUGCCUAUACGUCGUACUCAAUAAUUAAACAUAGCAAAUAAGACACGACUCCUAAUCCCUCAAGCUAAGGUUAGACCAAACACUUAUCUUGAUGCCACGAACACAAUUCAAUCCUCAACUACCGCUUUACCUCUUGUUUCCACCACCAAUUCGCUUGUAUCUAGCCACAAUUUACUCAACGAUAUCAAUAAAUGCUAAAUGAAUCAAUUCUAAUGCAUGAAAAUAGGUUUUAUAAAGAUUUCCCCAAAAUGUCAAAAAUUAACCCUAGACCCACAUGGUCAAAACCCGAAGUUCGAACCAAAACUCGAUUACCCAUGAACCCAAAUAUAUAAUUUGUUUUGAAAUCGGACCUCAAAUCGAGGUCCAAAUCCCAAAAAUUUGAAAAAACCUAAGUUCUACCAAAAAUAACAAAUUUCCCUCAUGAAAACCCUUGAUUUUGAGUUGAAAUCAUAUGAAAAAAUGUUAAAGAUUAAUGAAAACGAGUUAGAAAUGACUUACAAUCGAUUUGGAAGAGUAGCUGUCUUUGAAAAAUUGCCCAAAGGUGUUUAGGUUCUGAGAAAGUUUGAAAAAUGAGAGAUUUUCGGCUAAGUCGUGAUUUACACAGGCGCAGAUAUCGCAAUUGCGAAGCCUGGUUCGCAAAUGCAAACUCGCAAUUGUGGCCAAAGCUUCGUAAUUGCGAAGGAUGGCCUAUGUCUGCUUUCUUCGCAAAUGCGAACAAUGUUCGCAAUUGCGGUGCCUGUCAAGGUCGCAUUUGCGACAUAAGCUAAUAUGAAGGUUCCCUAUCCAGCCAGUCUUCGAAAAUGCGAGGGGUUUUUCGCAAAUGCAGGCUCGCAAUUGCGAGCCAGGCUUGCGAAGCAUGCAGAUCUGCAAUAUACCAGCAGUUUUUCCUAAGUUCAAAACACUCUGUGGCCUAUCCAAAUAUCAACCGAGCCCUCGGGGCUCCAAACCAAACAUGCACGCAAGUCCAAAAAUAUCAUAUGGACUUGCUCAUGCAAUCAAAUCAUCAAAAUAACAUCAAUAACUAUGAAUUUAGCAUCAAAAUCAAAAACAAAUCUCAUGAACUCUUAAGUUCCAAUUUUAACAACCGAUGGUCUGAUUCACGUCAUAUCAAGUCCGUUUCUUACCAAAUCUUACAGGCUCGACUUAAAUACCAUAUAAGACCUGUACCGGGCUCCAGAACUAAAAUACGGUCCCGAUACCAUCAAAUUCAAACAUAUUUAAAUUUUUGAAAACUCUUAUAAUUUCAGUCAAACAAUUUUCUUCAAAAAUUUAUUUCUCGGGCUUGGGACUUCGGAAUUCGAUUCCGGCCAUACGCCCAAGUCCAUAUUUUCCUACGGACCCUCAGGGACCGUUAAAUCACGGGUCCGGGUCCAUUUACCCAAAAUGUUGACCGAAGUCAACUUAAAUUCAUUUUAAAAGCAAAAUUUAUCAUUUUUCACAGAUUUCCACAUAAUAGCUUUUCGGAUACACGUCCGGACUACACACGUAAUCCGAGGUGAGACAAAAGGGAGGUUUUAAGGCCUCAAAAUAUAGAAUUUAUUUCUAAAAUAAGUGAUGACCUUUUGGAUAAUCACAAAAAGCAACCCUUAGGCUUUAUGGUCGAAUGAGGACUUGCUCGAACUCGAGAUAAGGUGGCCCUUGGGCUCGAUAGAUAGUCCAUGAGUGAGAAUUUUUUCUAACUUGGGUUAAGGUAGCCCUUAGGCUUUGUAUUUUUGCUUUCUUUUGUAUCUUUUUCGAGGCCACUUUGUUACGGGUUUCAGGCAUCUCCGAGCCGUGUUAAAUUGGCCGUAGCUUCUUGGUUCGGGUGUAGCCCAGUGAGCUUGCUACCCUAAGUUAUCCAGGUUUGCCUAAGAUAAUAGUCCCCGAGUGGAUAUGGUUGUGGCUUCUAAAAUUCGAGGGUUGCCUAAAAGAUCUGAUGCCCUCGACGCUCAAUAGUUUGAUAUGUUCGAGUUUUAUUUUUCGGACGGUAUUCCCCGAGUGUGGGGUGAAUAUCCGAACUUUGUUUUAGAUCGGCCCUUAGGCUCGUUUCCACAAUAGAUUGAAAGUAUUGAAUUGUAAAGUAAAAGAACUUUUUCUAAGACAUGAAAUAACUGCAAGGAAAAAUACUCCUAUUUAUUCUUGUGAAAAAUGAUUACACAUGCAUAUAUUUUUUAGCCAGGGCUCGAACAACCUAUCUGGGUACGGUUCAUUCAACCUUUUGGCCCUAUCAAGAUUCCAUCAUUUUGAAGUAAUUUCCUCGCAACAAAGUUGACAUCCAAAGGCAAUGCCCCCAGUAUUCGAGGUUUAUUGUAAGGAACCUCGAAUACUGUUAAAUGUUGUCUUUGACACCGAUUCUUGGUCGGCCUUCGAUUCUAAGUUAGCACGAUCCGUUGUUGCCUCGUUAAAAAACUUGCUGAAAAAUCCAAUUGGGACAAAAACGGUUCAAGGAAAAAAGAGUGCAAUGCGUGCUUUAAGACCUAAAGCUUUGUGUCGCUCCUUGUCGAUAACCUGCAAGUGUCUGUCGAAAAAUAGAAAGAAUUGAAAUGGGGUCGUACCUUCAUUUGGAUUUCGAAUGUUUAAUGUGACCUUCCUCAGUACCAAGUCCCCGUGAACUUUGAACUUGAUCAUUUCUCCUUUCAUUUUGUGUAGUAUUUCGCCCAAACCCCCUGCCUCUAAGGUCUUCGUUAUACGGUUGAUAUCGAUCUCUAUUAGACCUUGGUUCUCGGUUGAUAUCCCUCUUGAUUCUCUCCAUGGGCCUAUUAGUAUAAAUGGACCCAGAAGGGGUCCCCAUUUGAUCUUCCUCGACCUUGAUCUUCGAUUGAUAUCGAUUAUAUACAUCGGCCCGAGUGAAUGUUGGAUACUCGAUCAAAUUUUGCUUCAACUGCUAUGAAGCUAUAAAAUUCCGAGCAUUGAGGCAUUGAGUGAAAGCUUGAACAUCCCAAUCAUCGGUGACCGGUGGCAAAUCCAUUCUUUCCAUUUGGAAUCGAUCACGAAUUCCUUGAGCAUCUCGUUGUCCUUUUGCCUUACCUUGAAAAUGUUUGACUUUCACAUUGCAACCUUAAUGGCUCCGGUAUGUGCCUUUACAAAAGAAUUUGCAAGCAUAGAAAACGAAUCAAUAGAAUUAGGCGGUAAAUUAUGAUACCAUAUCAUGGCACCCUUCGAUAGAGUCUCCUCGAAUUUCUUCAGCAAUACAAACUCAAUUUCGUCAUCUUCCAAGUCAUAUCCUUUGAUGGCGCACGUGUAUGAGGUGACGUGUUCAUUUGGAUUAGUCGUCUCGUUAUACUUAGGAAUCUCAAGCAUACGAAACUUUUUGGGGAUUGGCUUUGGAACCGCACUUGGGGGGAAAUGUAACGACCCGACCGGUAUUUUUGAGAGUUAUAGCCCAUAUCCCCUGUUAACAACUUCCCACAUCUUUUUCUGCUAUUGCAACUUGCUGGGAGGUUUCGUUUUGGUUUUUGGAGUGUUUUAUGACACUUAGUCCCUAAAUAGAGGCUUAAGUCUUAGGAUUUGGACUGUAGUUGAAACUGUGUGAAAAUGACUCCGAAAUGAAGUUCUAUCAAUUUCGUUAGCGCCGUUGUGUGAUUUUGGGCUUUGGGGCGGAUUGGGAUUGUGUUUUGGAGGUCCGUAGCUUAUUUAGGCUUGAAAUGGCAAAAGUCAAAAUUUUGAAGAUUUGUACCGGUAGUGGAAUUUUUUAUAUCGGGGUCGGAUUCUAAUUCCGGAAGUUGGAAUAGGUCCAUAAUGUUGAAUAUGACUUGCGUGCAAAAUUUGAGGUCAUUCAGACGUUGUUUGAUAGGUUUCGGCAUCGGUUGUAGAAAUUUGAAGUUUCUAGUUGUUUAAGUUUGAAUUGGAGGGUGAUUCAUGAUUUAACGUUGUUUGAUAUUAUUUGAGGGCUCGACUAAGUUCUUAUGGUGUUUUAGGAUUGGUUGGUAUGUUUGGUUAAGGUCCCAGGGCCUCGGGUGAGUUUCGGGUGCAUAACAGAUCAAAAGUUGGAUUUGUGUUGUUGCUGAAGUCUUCUGGUAUUUGGUGUUUUCGCACCUGCGGUGGGGAGACCGCAGUUGCAGGAUCGCACGUGCGGAGUGAAGGGCGCAUAUGCGGAGUUUGGAGGCUUGACCAAUGAUCACAGGUGCGAGGGAAGUACUGCAUCUGCGAUGCCCGCAGAUGCGCCUAAGGAAUCGUAGGCAUGGAGGAGGACCGCAGAAGCGUACAGUGUUCCACAUGCCCUUGCCGCAGAUGCGGACCCAGCCCUCAUAAGUGAUUCUCGCACCUGCAAUGGAUUUCCCACAGGUACAGUUGAACGCUCGCAGAAGCAAGUUCACUUGGCAGAAAAGAGAAUUUCGAGGGUUUUAUCCCCUUUUCAAUUUUUGGAGUUGAGAGCUCGGAUAAAGGCGAUAAUUCAAGGAUUUUUAGAGAGAAUUUUGGGGUAAUGAUUCCUAACUCAUUUUUGGUUGUAUUCCAUUAAUCUAUAGUUAAUUUCAUCGUUAAAUUAAGGAAUUUGGGUGAGAGAUUUGGGGAAUUGUGGAAGUUCUUCAACGAAGUUUUUGAGUUUUGAUUGGGAUUUUGAUGUCGGAUUUGGAUAAUUUUGGUAUGAUGAACUCGUGAGUGAAUGAGUGUUCAUAUUUUGUGACCUUUACCUAAUUUUGAGACGUGGGCCCGGGGAGGCUUUUUGAGCGGUUUUCCAAUUUCUUGCUUUAACUUUGAUUUCAUUAGCUAGAUUAGUUCUUUGUAGUUAUAUUUAUGAUAUGUAAUUGAUUUUGGCUAGAUUUGGGCCACUCGAAGCUGGAUGUUCGUGGAAAAGGCAUUGUGACUGAUUGGUCGAUAUUUUAGAUAAUGUUGUGUACCAUAUAUUUGCUCAUGUUCUAUGCAUACAAGAUAACAGGAGCUCAAUGCACAUUGUCGUGAAAUGAAGAUUGUUCUUUUGCAGCAACAAGAAAGUAACUAUCGUUUACCGGUCAUCCUUGUUCAUUAGUGGUUGGGGAGUUCUCUCCAGACUACUAGGUCAAGGGUUCAAUACUGGUACAAACAAUCUCAUAGAAAGUAACUCUCGUUUUAAUUGGUGUUUGUAUAUGACCGUGCUCGAGGACAGUCAUAUGUCUUGCACCUUACCAUAUGCCCCGCUUUUACUAGUCGUGAAUAUCGACAGAUCAGUAGGGUGUUAGUCUAAUUUCAUUUCUAUUGUUAAAAUUUCAGGAAGUAAAAGUAAAAGUUGUUAUAUUAAGAACAAUUGAUCCAUCUACUGAUUCUUGCAUGCCUCUUGGUGAUGAAGCAUGACAUUCCCCUUAUUUAUCUUCAUGUCAAUAUGUUAAUUUUCUCUGUAUGUGUAUAAAGCAAGGGUCCAUUCAUGUCCCAUGUUAAGUCCAAGUGCACCAAUCCCAGCCGAUGUGGGAAACCAGCACCCCUCGCACGUCCACGACCGGACAACUGGAGCGUGGACUAUAUAAGAUGGGGGCCCAAUAUCGGGUGAACAAAGAAAUGGGAUGGGCCUGGCUUUGAUACCAUCUUGAAUUGUGUGAUCAUCUCAUCUAAAAGCUUAAGCUGUUAGAGAGAGCACAGUUUUAUUUACUUAAUUAUGUCUUCAACAUAUAUAUUCUAAAAUUAGUCUUAAUGAUUAGCAGGAUUUCCUAACAGGCAGCCGCUUUCUUCAGGACUAAUUUUGGUGCUUUCAUUGCUGCUAAUAGCUAAUUCUAAAUUUUCUUCUGGAGUAUGUUAUUAUCCUUUGACAUGAGCUGAGUGAAUUUGUAGGAUAGAUUUUAGGAAGCAAAUUUAGCUACCAUGAUCAUGAGACUAAUCUAGGAGUACUAAAGACCAUGGUAAUAUAGGGGAAAGAGAUCUGAAAUAAGCUUUGUUUAAGAGGACCCUGCUCUUCUGAGAUGGAUAAAACUGCAGCUUUUGUCAUCUGCAGUUUGUAUAGCUUGACUUUUUCUUAGAAUUCUUUAUUCAUUCUGCUUUAUCUUUCAAAAUUUUGAUGUUAUAGAAGUUUACAAAUCACCAAGUGAGAAAUGAAAAGUAUUUAAUGCAUUUCUAGUGUAACUCUAUCUGUUAUGUCAUCAACCAUCUAUUUUUAUACUUUGGAACUUUGACCUUUUAGUGUAGUGAAGCAAUUCAAGCAAGGAAUAGCUAAUCCUUGUAGGAAAAAAAUGUCAAGAGCUCGUCACACUUGCAUUGACUUAUAUUUUGGUUCUAUUUGUUGAUUUGCGUCUUUCUAAGCCCACAAUAUCAAGAGUUCAACACAGGUGCAAUGACUUGUACUGUGGUUCCAUUUGUUGUUAUGCAUCUUUCUGAGCCAUUAAAUUGAGGAUGCAAGGUAGAUUUGAGGCGUAGGCCAAGGUAACUUAUUGUACAUUAGUGAAACAAUAUGAAGGAAAACAAAAAAGAAUCCAAGAGGUGCGCAUAUGUAAAGCUUCCAGCUCUAAAUCAACUUAAUGCCCCACAUUUUUGCAGCAUAAUUUGUUGCACAUGGAUCAGCAUGAGAAUUGCUUGUGACUUAUUCUGAACUUUUAUUCUUAACUAGGUAUACCUACUUGAAGUUGCACCGCCCUGCUGUCUAGACAUUGAAAAAUUAAUUUUUUUCCAUAUUCAAUGCUUAAUUUUGAAUGGAAGUGCCUGUUAAAUGUCUUAACUGUAGUUGUUAGGUAACCGGAGCUUGUCUUUAUUUUGUUAAGCAAGACAAACAGUUGCUAAUGGAAGUAAUUUUUGCUACAAAUUAUACAUAAG
rnacentral:lncRNA from 1 species